rnacentral:rRNA from 1 species
GAAAGGCAUCACGAGGGUCUCACUGUCUCCCUCUUUCAAUCAGUGAAACUGAUCUCCCCGUGAAGAAGCGGGGAUAAAACUAUAAGACGAGAAGACCCCAUGGAGCUUUAAACUCAAUAUUAACUGCCAAAGUACACACCAAGUCAAACAGGCAGAACUAACUAUUAGUUUUCGGUUGGGGUGACCACGGAGCAAAAUAAAACCUCCAUGAUGAAUGACUUACUCUAAUCUAAGAGCCACAGCUCAAAGAAUCAAUAAAUUGACAUAAUUUGAUCCAAAUAUUUUGAUCAACGAACCAAGUUACCCUGGGGAUAACAGCGCAAUCCAUUUCAAGAGCUCCUAUCGACAAAUGG